GGGGAAUUUUCCGCAAUGGGCGAAAGCCUGACGGAGCAAUACCGCGUGAGGGAGGAAUGCCUAUGGGUUGUAAACCUCUUUUCUCAGGGAAGAAGAUCUGACGGUACCUGAGGAAUAAGUAUCGGCUAACUCCGUGCCAGCAGCCGCGGUAAUACGGAGGAUGCAAGCGUUAUCCGGAAUCAUUGGGCGUAAAGCGUCCGCAGGUGGUUUCCAAAGUCUGCUGUUAAAGACUGGAGCUCAACUCCGGAACGGCGGUGGAAACUUGGAAACUAGAGUUCGGUAGGGGUAGCAGGAAUUCCCAGUGUAGCGGUGAAAUGCGUAGAUAUUGGGAAGAACAUCGGUGGCGAAGGCGUGCUACUGGACCGUAACUGACACUCAGGGACGAAAGCUAGGGGAGCGAAAGGGAUUAGAUACCCCUGUAGUCCUAGCUGUAAACGAUGGAAACUAGGUGUGGCUUG
rnacentral:rRNA from 1 species